rnacentral:sRNA from 1 species
UACUCAUUACUGAUAAAAUUUGUCACAAAUAGAAACAGAAAACUGUCCCAAAGCAAUGGUAAAAGUUUAUAGCUCAGAAGCCAAGCGUAACAAAUGUAUUUCAUUGAAGAAAUACCCCACAAAGGAAUACCUCUUCUUACGUGUUAGCUUUCUCAUCACAGCUCA